CAGCAGCCGCGGUAAAACGGAGGGUGCAAGCGUUAUCCGGAUUUAUUGGGUUUAAAGGGUCCGUAGGCGGACUUAUAAGUCAGUGGUGAAGGCCUGUCGCUUAACGAUAGAACUGCCAUUGAUACUGUAAGUCUUGAGUAUAUUUGAGGUAGCUGGAAUAAGUAGUGUAGCGGUGAAAUGCAUAGAUAUUACUUAGAACACCAAUUGCGAAGGCAGGUUACCAAGAUAUAACUGACGCUGAGGUACGAAAGCAUGGGGAGCAAACAGGAUUAGAUACCCGCGUAGUCCCUGUCUCUUAUAC
rnacentral:rRNA from 1 species